GAUCCUGGCUCAGGACGAACGCUGGCGGCGUGCUUAACACAUGCAAGUCGAACGAGAGCGUAGAGAAAGCUUGCUUUUUCUACAAUCUAGUGGCAAACGGGUGAGUAACGCGUAAACAACCUGCCCUACGGAUGGGGACAACAGCUGGAAACGGCUGCUAAUACCGAAUACGUUCCGAAAGUCGCAUGACUAUCGGAAGAAAGGAUGGCCUCUAUUUAUAAGCUAUCGCCGGAGGAGGGGUUUGCGU
rnacentral:rRNA from 1 species